rnacentral:miRNA from 1 species
UGUUUGUAUAGUGUGUGUAUAUAAUGCAGUGUGUUUGUGUAGUGUGCAUUAUAUAAACACAUUACACAAACACACUGCAUUAUAUACACACACUGCAUUAUA